rnacentral:rRNA from 1 species
CCUACGGGAGGCAGCAGUAAGGAAUAUUGGACAAUGGGCGAGAGCCUGAUCCAGCCAUCCCGCGUGCAGGAAGACGGCCCUCUGGGUUGUAAACUGCUUUUAUAAGGGAAGAACAGCCUCGAUUAAUCGGGGUAUGACUGUACCUUAGGAAUAAGCCCCGGCUAACUCCGUGCCAGCAGCCGCGGUAAUACGGAGGGUGCAAGCUUUAUCCGGAAUCACUGGGUUUAAAGGGUGCGUAGGCGGUUACGUCAGUCAGAGGUGAAAGGUUACAGCUUAACUGUGAGAUGGCCUUUGAAACUGCGUAGCUUGAAUCAGAUAGAGGUUAGUGGAAUGCGACAUGUAGCGGUGAAAUGCAUAGAUAUGUCGUGGAAUACCGAUUGCGAAGGCAGCUAACUGGGUCUUGAUUGACGCUGAGGCACGAAAGCGUGGGG